GCCCGGAUAGCUCAGUCGGUAGAGCAGAGGAUUGAAAAUCCUCGNNGAAAAUCCUCGUGUCGGUGGUUCGAUUCCGCCUCCGGGCACCA
rnacentral:tRNA from 2 species